rnacentral:rRNA from 1 species
UACGGAGGGUGCAAGCGUUAUCCGGAUUCACUGGGUUUAAAGGGUGCGUAGGUGGGAAUGUAAGUCAGUGGUGAAAUCUCCGUGCUUAACACGGAAACUGCCAUUGAUACUAUGUUUCUUGAAUUAUCUGGAGGUCAGCGGAAUAUGUCAUGUAGCGGUGAAAUGCUUAGAUAUGACAUAGAACACCAAUUGCGAAGGCAGCUGGCUACAGGUGGAUUGACACUGAGGCGCGAAAGCGUGGGGAUCAAACAGG